AAGUAUAAGCAAUUAUACAGCGAAACUGCGAAUGGCUCAUUAAAUCAGUUAUCGUUUAUUUGAUAGUACCUUACUACAUGGAUAACCGUGGUAAUUCUAGAGCUAAUACAUGCUGAAAACCCCGACUUCGGAAGGGGUGUAUUUAUUAGAUUAAAAACCAAUGCCCUCCGGGGCUUACUGGUGAUUCAUGAUAACUUCUCGAAUCGCACGGCCUUGCGCCGGCGAUGGUUCAUUCAAAUUUCUGCCCUAUCAACUUUCGACGGCUGGGUCUUGGCCAGCCGUGGUGACAACGGGUAACGGAGGGUUAGGGCUCGACCCCGGAGAAAACGCCUGAGAAACGGCGUUUACAUCCAAGGAAGGCAGCAGGCGCGCAAAUUACCCAAUGCCGACACGGCGAGGUAGUGACGAGAAAUACUGAUACAGGGCUCUUUUGGGUCUUGUAAUUGGAAUGAGUACAAUUUAAAUCCCUUAACGAGGAACAAUUGGAGGGCAAGUCUGGUGCCAGCAGCCGCGGUAAUUCCAGCUCCAAUAGCGUAUAUUAAAGUUGUUGCAGUUAAAAAGCUCGUAGUUGAACCUUGGGCCUGGCUGGCCGGUCCGCCUCACCGCGUGCACUGGUCCGGCCGGGCCUUUCCCUCUGGGGAACCCCAUGCCCUUCACUGGGCGUGGCGGGGAACCAGGACUUUUACUUUGAAAAAAUUAGAGUGUUCAAAGCAGGCCUAUGCUCGAAUACAUUAGCAUGGAAUAAUAGAAUAGGACGUGCGGUUCUAUUUUGUUGGUUUCUAGGACCGCCGUAAUGAUUAAUAGGGACAGUCGGGGGCGUCAGUAUUCAAUUGUCAGAGGUGAAAUUCUUGGAUUUAUUGAAGACUAACUACUGCGAAAGCAUUCGCCAAGGAUGUUUUCAUUAAUCAGGAACGAAAGUUAGGGGAUCGAAGACGAUCAGAUACCGUCGUAGUCUUAACCAUAAACUAUGCCGACUAGGGAUCGGACGGUGUUAUUUUUUGACCCGUUCGGCACCUUACACGAAAGUACAAGUUUCUGGGUCC
rnacentral:rRNA from 1 species